CCAGAGGGAAGGACAGGAAGGUCAGGGGCCAGAGGGAAGGACAGGAAGGUCAGGGGCCAGAGGGAAGGACAGGAAGGUCAGGGGCCAGAGGGAAGGACAGGAAGGUUAGGGGUUAGAGGGAAGGACAGGAAAGUCAGGGGUCAGAGGGAAGGACGGGAAGGUCAGGGGCCAGAGGGAAGGACAGGAAGGUUAGGGGUUAAAGAGAAAGACGGGAAGGUUGGAGGUCAUAGAGAAGGAUGCAAAGGUUACGGGUCAGAGGGAAGGACAGGAAAGUCAGGGGUCAGAGGGAAAGACAGGAAGGUCAGGAGCCAGAGGGAAGGACAGGAAGGUCAGGGGCCAGAGGGAAGGACAGGAAGGUCAGGGGCCAGAGGGAAGGACAGGAAGGUCAGGGGCCAGAGGGAAGGACAGGAAGGUCAGGGGCCAGAGGGAAGGACAGGAAGGUCAGGGGCCAGAGGGAAGGACAGGAAGGUCAGGGGCCAGAGGGAAGGACAGGAAGGUUAGGGGUUAGAGGGAAGGACAGGAAAGUCAGGGGCCAGAGGGAAGGACAGGAAGGUUAGGGGCCAGAGGGAAGGACAGGAAGGUUAGGGGUUAGAGGGAAGGACAGGAAAGUCAGGGGCCAGAGGGAAGGACGGGAAGGUCAGGGGCCAGAGGGAAGGACAGGAAGGUUAGGGGCCAGAGGGAAGGACAGGAAGGUUAGGGGUUAGAGGGAAAGACAGGAAAGUCAGGGGUCAGAGGGAAGGAUGGGAAGGUUAGGGGUUAAAGAGAAGGACGGGAAGGUUGGAGGUCAUAGAGAAGGAUGCAAAGGUUAGGGGUUAGAGGGAAGGACAGGAAAGUCAGGGGUCAGAGGGAAGGAUGGGAAGGUUAGGUGUUAAAGAGAAGGACGGGAAGGUUGGAGGUCAUAGAGAAGGAUGCAAAGGUUAGGGGUCAGAGGGAAGGACAGGAAAGUCAGGGGUUAGAGGGAAGGACAGGAAGGUUAGAGGUCAGAGAGAAGGAUGCGAAGGUUAGGGGCCAGAAGCCCGGGCUCCAUAUGCUCCCUCUGCCCAGGCCCUGGAACUUACCCAAGACCCAG